AUGACGAAAACACGAAAAUCCUUCGAAUUGUCCCGUUUCUUGCAGGUAUAGCCCGCUGUCAGUCUCCGUUUUAUAUCCUUCUGAACUCGAAUGUAUAUGAGAUAGACAGCGCUGAAGAGAUGGGGUGGGGCAAACAGCGCUCAGUGAACCCUGGGAAGGACCAGCGCUUCAUCACAUGACUCCACAGAACGUCAGCAUGGCGAAAUUCUGCAGAGAAAACGGCGCCCUCUUCAAAGAAAGAACAGAUUGUGACCCAAGAUCCUUAACACGGGGCAACUGGAGUCACUCUCUUUCUAUUUUUGGAUGUUUGAACGCGCACUAUAUUAGGCUACCCCAUUGAUUAUAAAAUACAUGUUUCCAGUAGUUUAUUAUUAUUCCCACUUGACCACGAAAGCAGGUUUGUUUAUGCUCCUAAAACCUAGGACUAUAUGAGGUUGGUAGGCCUUGUCAUUUUUGCACUGAGUAGACAGGGGUGUUUUUUCAAUUGCAGAUUAUAAUCCUAAUUUAUUCUAUAUUACUGGGCUGGAAAUGAAAUGGAAUGCCCUGGAAACCUGAUAACUUCCUUGUCUUCAUCUGUACACCCAGGGGUUACAUAUAGGCUGACCAGAUGGAUGGAGUUCUGCCACUUCAGGAUGGAACUAUCGAAUUAGUAUUCUGAAUUCUAAUCCCAAUUUUAUUCUAAUCCCAACUGUAUACUCUGAUUGAGUAUGGCGUAGGCUACAUUUGGGAUUGAACAUGUGUCCAAUUUGGGGGACAUUCUUACCCGCAUGACAAAGCCUUUCACUGACACCCCCUGGUCACAUUCUAAAACUUGAUCAUGUCAGAUCUCCAAAUCUGAGUAUGACUCAUGCUUUCUAUUAUGAACUAAUUUACUGGGCUGUAUUUGGAGAUCCAAAUAGUCUCUUGGGUGUGUCACUGUCAUUGUUUGAAUUGCUUUAUUCAAUGUCUUCCUGGAAUUCCAUUUGGGCAGUUCUCUGUAUAUAGACUGUCAUCAAAUAGUUCCCUCCGUAUUGACUCAGAAUCUCAGUAUAAAUAGUUUCAUCAUCCCCAGUGGUUUGAAAGUUAUUUGAAUCAGAGAUGCUCUAGUAGUAUGUUCUUGAUGUAAUGGUGUUCACAUUCAUCAACAUCUCAUGACUUCUAUGCCAUGGUCACCUUGCGUUGUGAUAAUGUGUUGCCUAGAGAUCUGUAAUGGCUUUAGCCUCUGUUGCUGUCACAUCUUCUCAGCACUAGAUGGCAGCAAUAACUUGGUUGUAAACAAGGUACUACCAUUCACAUCCUUACUAGCUUUCACGCUUUAUUGUACAAGUACAGUUUCAGUAUAUGGUAAAAGUCCAUAAACACACCCUAUUCUAUCCUUACUCCAGUGAUUCAUGAUGUAAUGUGCAAAUUCAUUUGUCAGAGAGUUUAUGGAAGACUUGACUAGAUAUCUUGAAUUGGGUUGAGAAAGACUGUUUAUCGUUUAAUAUUGUACACUUGUUUAUAUUAAAUUCACCACAUUUUGCA